rnacentral:rRNA from 1 species
UACAGAGGGUGCGAGCGUUGUUCGGAAUUACUGGGCGUAAAGCGCGCGUAGGUGGUGUGUUAAGUCUGCCGGUCAAAUGCCGAGGCUCAACCUCGUUGCACGCCGGGGAUACUGGGCACGCUAGAGACAAGUAGAGGCAAGCGGAAUUCCGGGUGUAGCGGUGGAAUGCGUAGAGAUCCGGAAGAACACCGGAGGCGAAGGCGGCUUGCUGGGCUUGGUCUGACGCUGAGGCGCGAAAGCGUGGGUAGCGAACAGG